AUUGCUCAAAAUUAUAAUUGCAAUGAAUGUUGUCAUUUAAAAACAUUAUUGUCGUCUUGUAAUCGUCUCAUUUUAGGCUACGUCUACAUUAAGCCGGAUAUAUUUGAAAAUGGCGUUUUCGUUUUAAAACGCUGUCCAUCCACCCUAGCGUUUUCAAGUGUUUUCCAAAAGUGUCUCAUACACACUGAAACAUCAGAAAAUGUUAAAUUCGCUUUCUGCGCACACGUAAAGCCUCAAAAAAGCUCACUGGAGAUGAUAAACAUGGAACAUAUGAGACGUUUUCAUGCAGUUUUUCUGACAGGAUUAUUUAAAAUUUUAAAUAACUCACCAUUCACUGCAGGGUUCCCACGGGUCCUUGAAAUCCUUGAAAGUUUUGAAUCUGAAAAAAAAAAAAAAACAUUUUCAUGAAUUCAUAGGCUAUGUGGUUGCAAUAACAUUUUAGUUCAAAAUUUUAAAUGUCAUUGUUUUUAAAAAAAUGCUAAUUUGAUUGAAGUUUAAUAGAUGUUCAGUUGUUAUACUUUCAAAUUUUAUGCCAUAUUGUAUGUAAUUUCAAAGUAUAUUCACCUCCUAAAUUACCACAACACUUGUGUAGUCACAAUUCUAUUGUGGUAAAAUUUACUCAGGCCUAUGCAUUGUGUAUAACAUGCGGGACAUUUUUUGUUUGACAUUAAACUUUAUUUUUAGAAUAAUUGUAUAGGUUAAGCAAAACAAAUGUGAUUUCUGAGAACCUUUUAUACACAUACUUAACUGUAGACACCGAAAUGACACACUCUAUGUGGUACAGAACAAAUAUUUUGAGCGUCCCUUUUUCUGUCCCUUAUUUUCCUAUAAAGAAUCACAGUAGUCCCUUAUUUUCAUAUUCUGAAGUUGGCAACCCUAAUGCAAAAGAUAAUAUCAGAUAAUUUUAGAAUACAGUAUAGGAUGUACUGAAUAUUCUUCAGUUUUAUGCAAAACAGAAAUAUGACAAAUAGAAUAUCAGAUCUCUGUCAUAUGGCCAAAAAUAAAUGCAAAAAAGAAGAAGCUUUUUUGCA
ensembl:lncRNA